rnacentral:rRNA from 1 species
AACGAACGCUGGCGGCAGGCCUAACACAUGCAAGUCGAACGCUGUAGCUUGCUAUGCCGGAUGAGAGUGGCGCACGGGUGCGUAACGCGUGAGCAACCUGCCCAUGUCAGGGGGAUAGCCCGUUGAAAGACGGAUUAACACCGUAUGAAGACACGUUCCGGCAUCGGGGAGUAUCCAAAUAUUCAUAGGACUUGGAUGGGCUUGCGUGGCAUUAGAUAGGUGGUAAGGUUACGGCUUACCAAGGCGAUGAUGCCUAGGGGCUCUGAGAGGAGAACCCCCCAGACUUGUACUGAGACACGGACCAGACUCCUACGGGAGGCAGCAGUAGGGAAUAUUGGUAAAUAGGCGGAAGCCUGAACCAGCCAUGCCGCGUGCGGGAUGAAGGCCCUAUGGGUCGUAAACCGCUUUUAUACGGGAACAACCGCAGCUACGUGUAGCUGCCUGAGUGUACCGUAGGAAUAAGGAUCGGCUAACUCCGUGCCAGCAGCAGCCGCGGUAA